UACAGCCAUAUCACAUUGAAACAUCGGUUCCUGUACGAUCAACUAAGUUAAGCCACAUUAAGCCUGUUCAGCACCUAGCUAAGUGACCGCUUGUGAAUACUAGGUGUUGUAAG